AUUGAGAUGUUCCUAUGGUGGCUUUUGAUAGCACAAAUUGAGUAAACCAAUAUAAGGGGCAAUGGAAGGAUAACCUUGCUUGAACCUAAUCGCCUCCUACUCUUUUUGGAUUUCUAGAAGAGCUCUUCCGCUUGAUCCUAAACCAAAGACGUGUACUUCGCUGUGAUCGGACUCUGUUGCCUUGACUGCAAGGUACUCGGUGAAUCCCCGCCUACCGUAAGCGUCCUGGCUUCCUGGAAACCUCUUUAUCUUCUAAGAUGAAGAAUUUUCACGAUUGCAUUAUUGUGGAAUCCUCGAGUCGUCAAACAUUGCAUGAAGCUCAGAGUUGUGUAUAUCUCUCUUGCUGCAAUGUAUCUUGCAGAUGGAUUGGAUUACCACUCCUGUAGAUGGGAUGUCUAUAGUUUCAUGAGCAGGGGUGUUGGUGUGCCAACCCAAUAUCAGGAAGAUCAGAAUUAUCUUCUUCUCCCUUAAGGAAAUGUAAGUUUUUUUGGUUUUUUAAUUUGUGCGUUUUGUUGAUGUAAUUAAUUUUACUAUUUAACAACAUAAAUACGUGGUUAUUUAAGGUUUUAGUUGGGAUUUAGAGUUGUUUUAUGUUGUCUAACUAACCGUAAAAAGGUCUAAGAACCGUAAGAAGGCACAACAGACUUCCAACAGCAGAUAAAAGUAGAGGUGCACUGCCCAUUUUAGAUCUUGGUUCUACUUAGUUUCUAUAGCUAUUUUUCAGUAAAGAAAUCACUAACCACGAAGCGGUUUGAGUUUUUCAUCUGUAUUGGCCAUUCCAUUGUAUUUGUUAGAUGUGCUAACAGAGAAUGUAGAGAACUCGUUUAGAUGCAACCCAGCUAAGAGUUAGGUAGAGUUUUAUUUCUUAGAGGUGAAUUUGUGUAAAUUUAUAAAUAACAUAGAUAAUUUCCUUGUCCCAUUUUAGAGUUUCAGUGAUCUGGAGAGCAUGAAGUGAAUAAUCUGCAAUGUGUAUGAUGAGUACAGAUGUAUAAUAGGAAACAAUUUUAUUUUUUAAAUCCAUAUAGCCCAUAAUCAUUUUAUUCUUUCCUACCGACGUACAAAAACGAAUGUUAUGAAUUUCGUUUUGGGGUCAAUGGAGUUCCGUUACUGGCCUUUUGCGACGUCCAGACAGGAUGUCCUUCUCGCUUGAAGGUCACAAGAAACAUUACUUAAAACUGGCAUGCGGUGGUGUAGAACUGGGUGAGAAUGACACGUGUUUCAUCACUAUCAGGUACAAUAGCAAGGGUAAGUUAUUUGGUAUUCAUUUUGAUAUAGGUUUUUGUAGACCCAUCCCCAGAAAAAUCACCUGCAGAAGGAAAGGCCAGUUUGCAUUUCAAUCGAAGGUCAUGGAGAUCAAUUCUCGUAUGUAAGGGCAAAUAAAAAGGCGAAAGAAAUCAGUCGAGUGAACAUCUCCGAUAUACAAGAGCUACAGUGCACCACGUGUCACCAUCUGUCACCAUCUGCAUUCUUCGUCGCGCUACCAGUUUCAAUCAUGGUAAACUAUACUGUCGUGCUGUUGUUGGUGUUGUGUCGUUGUUUGCUGGUUCAGCCACUGGUGUACCGAUGACUCUUGGGUGUGGCGGAUACCAAAGCACUACACUGCCGUCUUACUACACAACAUACAACACAACCAGUUGCUACACUAAUGCCCCCAAAUACUACACCACCAAGGAACCAGAGUGUUACACAACUACAAAUGCCGCGCCAGCUUAUUACACCGAGGCUCCCUAACACAACACCACCAAGGCAUUGCGGUACUACACCACUACAUAUCAUGGUCGUAUGAAAGGAGAGAAAAGGAGAAAGAAUUCAGCAGCCGAUUGAGCAUCUCCGUUACGGCUAUAGGAACUGCCGUGCACUAUAUGUCAACAACUUCAUUCUUCGUCGCAUUCCAAGUUUUAAAUAAAGUAAACUAUGGUGUUGUGCUGCUGUUGGGUGUUGUAUCGUUGAUGGUUGGUACAACCAUGGUGUAUCGAUAUCUCCUGGGUAUGGUGGGUACCAACAACAACAUACGCAACAACCGCUUACUACACUGAGCCACCCAGGAUCAAGUUGUUACCCCACCGAAGCGCCGAAGUACUGCGC